UGGUAUAAAAGGCACUCCACACUGGAAAACCCUAGCAAUGUGACGAGCUGCUCCUCCCCAAUCCCCACACAGCCGCCAUCCACCCAAUCGGCAAGCUCCUCCUCUCCCGUCCCUCCCCUCCUCCUCCCUUGCCGCCUCUCCCUCCUUCUCCCGGCGGCAUGGACGUAGAGCCUCCACGGCCGCCGUCACGCCGCAUCCCCUCACCGGGCUAGCAGGGGCGAGCAGCAACAUGAGGAGCCCCAGCUGCGACGGCCUCUUCCAGUAGCCCGACCUGCCCUCUCCUCUGUUCCUCCGGGCCUCCCACGUGAGGUGACGGCGAGGGUAGGUGAUUUCGUGUCGGCGUGGAGAAUUUCCUGGCCGGAUGCUCCUCGGUGCUGCUCCGGCCGUGCACGCCAUGGAACUCGGGCGGUUCAUCCCCGGGAGCGGCCGUACGAGCUCCACGACCUCCAUCCCCUGCCGGAAACGAAGGAUGACCACUGGUGCAGAGACAGGAGCCUCGCUUCGGGGAGUCGCUGGAGAAUUUUAGUUGGAGUAGACUUAUGAUAUCACUCCAUUAUGACAUUUGGGUGGAGCCGCAGCGGGCUGUACGGCCGCCGCGGACAAGCAGGUGGUGUCCAGCCGGAGCAGCGAAGGCUGCCGCUCGCACGUCCGCCGCUUGGAGGAGUGGCUGGUGAGCUCUUUCCAUCCUGCACGCCUCCUAUUGUUUCUAAACUAGAUAAUGUAUUUUCAUAUGAAGAUUUUGCAGCAACAACAGGGACAUUGACAUCUGGGAUGAAGACAGCGGGCCAAAGAACUGCCUGCCACCAACAGUACCAAUUAUUGUGAUUAGAGGAAAAUUCAUAGGAUGCAAUAAUUUUCGUGCCCUGUAUCUAUAGACUUGGAAGAAGCCUGUUGUAUCUAUAAACUGUGGCUGCUGACCCCCUUCUUACCACAGGCUGACCAAUUUUGCAGCAUGCAAUCUAAAAAAUAAUUUUCAUGCAGCACACAUUGCUAAUGAAUUUUGUUAGAUUGAUUCCCCACUGCUUGACCAGGCUAGAGGACUGCGGAAUCAUCGUUGCCGCUCGAUGGAGGACGGGGUGCGCGGGUUUCAAAUGGAGGUGCAGCGUUUAGGGUCUCUGGUGUGUCGCCACCACCUGGAGUCGCCUCGCCAUGGUGAUCGUUACCAUUGCCUAACAAGGUUGGUGAUUGAUGCAACUGGUAUUUAACUUGAGGGAUGCAUAAUUCAGGAUGGAUUUCUGGUUUGGGUGAUCUGCUUAUGGCCAUUGGUACAUCUGCAGAUUCCGCUAUGACACCGUUGGGCAACACGACGACGGAGGCCUGAAGUUGUAUGACCAGCAACAGCAUCCGUGGGCAGCAUCUGCUGGCACAAUGAAGGAAGUAUGCAAUGUUUUAUUGUAACUUGGUUAGUUCGUUAUAGUUGUAACCUAUGGAUUUGGUUUUGCCUUUGCAAUCUCUUAUAUUCGCUCUACAGGUAAUUCUGAAUUUGGUUUUAGUUACUUAAGGGGAAAAUGUGCAUUGCCUAUAGAUUGUAUCAAAACAGCAGAAUGUAGCAUAUGUAGAAAAAAGAACGAUUUCUAACCAAGCGAGUUUGUUUAUUUUUUGGGCAUUCAAAUGAUGCAUAGCAUUAGUUGAUGAAAGAUGCAUGCUGUUUUUUAUGUUCAGAAGUAUUUAUUAAGAUGGCCGCCUACCAUUUUUCAUUUACUUUUUCACAUCUUAUAUCCAUUAAGUUGCUAGAUCCAAUUUCUGUUAUGGAUAUCUUCUAUGCCAUCCAUGGUUAGUGCAGAUUUUGUCAUCCAAUUGUUCUCUUCCUCUAUGUGACAGGUUUAGUACUUGGUUUUCU